GACGAACGCUGGCGGCGUGCUUAACACAUGCAAGUCGAACGGAAAGGCCCUUCGGGGGCACACGGGUGGCGAACGGGUGAGUAACACGUGAGCAACCUGCCCUUGACUUCGGAAUAACAGCUGGAAACAGGGGCUAAUACCGGAUAUGACACCGUUCCUCCUGGGCUGGGGUGGAAAGCUUCGGCGGUUUGGGAUGGGCUCGCGGCCUAUCAGCUUGUUGGUGGGGUAAGGGCUCACCAAGGGUUUGACGGGUAGCCGGCCUGGGAGGGCCACCGGCCACAUUGGGACUGAGAUACGGCCCAGACUCCUACGGGAGGCAGCAGGGGGGAAUAUUGCACAAUGGGCGCAAGCCUGAUGCAGCAACGCCGCGUGCGGGAUGACGGCCUUCGGGUUGUAAACCGCUUUCAGUAGGGACGAAGCCACAAGUGACGGUACCGACAGAAGAAGGACCGGCUACCUACUU
rnacentral:rRNA from 1 species